GACAGAGGCCACAAGCGUUAGGCGGAAUCACUGGGCUUAAAGCGUGUGUAGGCGGAGGCGUAAGUGUCUUGUGAAAUCCCCCGGCUCAACCGGGGAACCGCUGGGCAUACUGCGUCUCUUGGGCCAAUCAGGGGCAGCUGGAACAAACGGUGGAGCGGUGAAAUGCGUAGAUAUCGUUUGGAACGCCAACGGCGAAAGCAGGAUGCUGGGAGUGUGCUGACGCUGAGACACGAAAGCGUGGGGAGCAAACAGG
rnacentral:rRNA from 1 species